CUCGAACCUGCCUCUCCUUCCCUCGGAAAGUCCUCCUGCAGAAGGGAAACGAUUUAAAACCUUCCCCUCCCCCACUUCACCUCUUCAGUUCUUGCACUCAAGGAUGUGGCUAUACGUGCCAGGUGACAUGCAAACUAAGGUGAAAUCCUAUACCCCAAAUCACAGCCUUUUGCCACCUCUCUUUUCCAGUUGGCCAAUGUCACAGCAAAUUCAGUGCCUUGGCCAAGUGCUUGGCACUUCUAAGUAUCUGAGAGUGGCAGGUCCCUGGGAAGAACUGGUGCUUCUAUCUAAGGAAAAGCACCACAUAGCCAACGAGAACAUUUAGUUAGUAACUUACCAUCAAAUAUAUCCACCAUUCUGAAGAAAGCCAGUGAUAAUGAUGACUUUCCACUGCCGGUGCGACCGCAGAUGCCCACCUAAAAAAUAAGUGUCACUCAGAGAAAAAAGGACUCAGAAAAAAACAAAACAAAACAAAACAAAACAGAAGAUGGGCAAAAAAUAUUUUUAUUUUCAACAAGAUGCCAUGGGGAAACUGUACCUCUAUUUAAAUAGUUGUAAUAAAUUAUCAUUCUUUUCUUAA